rnacentral:misc_RNA from 1 species
GGUUGGAUCAUUACUAAAAUCCAACUUUCCUUGGGCUAGCAAUAGCUCUUGGAUAAAGUUAGAGUGAGCCGGAACUAGAAAUAGGGAAACGCUCACUCGAAACACCCUUUGUGAACAUGAAUUGUCUUUGGAGUUUCCCUUAUGAGGAUUAGGGUAAAAUCUAGUCCAAGUUGAGAAACUCCUAUCCAUAAACUUUAAUAGUCAGCCUUUUUAUUCAUUCUUGAAGCUUACCCCUAGGGUACUCUAAUAGAAAUAACAAUAAGAAAACAACUUUUGACAACGGAUCUCUUGGCUCUCGCAACGAUGAAGAACGCAGCGAAUUGCGAUAAGUAAUGUGAAUUGCAGAAUUUCGUGAAUCAUCGAAUCUUUGAACGCAUAUUGCGCUUCCUGGUAUUCCGGGAAGCAUGCCUGUUUGAGAAUCGUUUAAACUUAUCAAACCCUCUUUGGGGGAAUGGAUGUGGGCCUUUUACCUUGGUUCUUGUAAUCAGGUAAGGUCUGAAAUAAAAUGACUUUCGCCUUUGUUUUCUUGGUUUUACCUUUAGGUUCAAUCCAGUUCACAUAUUAAACAAGUCUCCUAGCGUAUUAGGCUUUUAAGGCUACUCGCUUCUAGGUUUGGUGUGAAUUUGAAUUGAAUUUAAUAGUAAUUCAAAGUAAUAAAGGAUAGAGGGCCUUUAACUAAAACGAGGGUAGUAAUACUACUCGACCAAAUUUAUAAUCAAGGUCUCAAAUCAGGCAAGACCACCCGCUGAACUUAAGCAUAUCAAUAAGCGGAGGAAAAGAAACUAACAAGGAUUCCCCUAGUAACGGCGAGUGAAGCGGGAAGAGCUCAAAUUUGAAAUCUCAUGGGGUUCCCCUAUGCGAAUUGUAGUUUCGAGAAGUGUUUUCAGAACAAGGCCAGGUAUAAGUCUCUUGGAAUAGAGCAUCAUAGAGGGUGAGAAUCCCGUCUAAUACUUGGUUUACUGUUCUAUGUGAUACACUUUCAAAGAGUCGGAUUGUUUGGGAAUGCAGUCCAAAAUGGGUGGUAAAUACCAUCUAAAGCUAAAUAACGGCGAGAGACCGAUAGCGAACAAGUACCGUGAGGGAAAGAUGAAAAGAACUUUGAAAAGAGAGUUAAAUAGUACGUGAAAUUGUCAAAAGGGAAACGAUUGAAACCAGUAUUUGUCCUUUUAAAGUAUGGGCCUUUCCUUUCGAGGUUUGGAUACCGCUUUAGUUGGAUGGUCAACAUCAGUUUGGCCUAAAGGAAAAAGCCUUGAGGAAGGUAGCCAUUUAUUUCGGUAGGUGGUGUUAUAGACUCUUGGGAAAUACUUUGGGCAUCAGACUGAGGAUCGCAGCUUUUUAUUGGGUUAUUGGUCGCCCUUGGAGUGAGAGUGAAUAGACAGCUUGCUGACUACCGCUUGUUCAUACUGAGGUACGGUCUUUUAACCACAACCAUUGCUUAGGAUGUUGACGAAAUGGUUUUAAACGACCCGUCUUGAAACACGGACCAAGGAGUCUAACAUAUAUGCGAGUAUUUGGGUGUUUCAAACCCCAUCUGCGCAAUGAAAGUGAUAAGGUGGGAUCCCUUUUCCUUUGGGAAAAGGUGUGCACCAUCGACCGGUCUGGACUCUUUUUUAAGUGAAAGAUCUGAGUAAGAGCAUAUCUGUUGGGACCCGAAAGAUGGUGAACUAUGCCUGAAUAGGGUGAAGCCAGAGGAAACUCUGGUGGAGGCUCGUAGCGGUUCUGACGUGCAAAUCGAUCGUCAAAUUUGGGUAUAGGGGCGAAAGACUAAUCGAACCAUCUAGUAGCUGGUUCCCUC